CAUGCAGCUUCAGAAGGCUGUGGGGCCCGAGAUCACCAAGACAGACCUGGUACCUGCUUUCCAGAACCUGAUGAAGGACUGUGAGGCCGAGGUGAGGGCCGCAGCCUCCCACAAGGUCAAAGAAUUCUGUGAAAAUCUCUCAGCUGACUGCCGGGAGAAUGUGAUCAUGA